rnacentral:rRNA from 1 species
AACGAACGCUGGCGGCAGGCUUAACACAUGCAAGUCGAGCGCCCCGCAAGGGGAGCGGCAGACGGGUGAGUAACGCGUGGGAAUCUACCCAUCACUACGGAACAACUCCGGGAAACUGGAGCUAAUACCGUAUACGUCCUUCGGGAGAAAGAUUUAUCGGUGAUGGAUGAGCCCGCGUUGGAUUAGCUAGUUGGUGGGGUAAUGGCCUACCAAGGCGACGAUCCAUAGCUGGUCUGAGAGGAUGAGCAGCCACACUGGGACUGAGACACGGCCCAGACUCCUACGGGAGGCAGCAGUGGGGAAUAUUGGACAAUGGGCGAAAGCUUGAUCCAGCCAUGCCUCGUGAGUGAUGACGGCCCUAGGGUUGUAAAGCUCUUUCGCAGGUGAAGAUAAUGACGGUAACCUGAGAAGAAGCCCCGGCUAACUUCGUGCCAGCAGCCGCCGUAAAAC